UGAGACGUGUGUUACUGGUUGAGUGCAUC
rnacentral:piRNA from 1 species